rnacentral:rRNA from 1 species
CAGCCGUAAACUAUGCUCGCUAGGUGUCAGGCAUGGCGCGACCGUGUCUGGUGCCGCAGGGAAGCCGUGAAGCGAGCCACCUGGGAAGUACGGCCGCAAGGCUGAACUUAAGGAUUGGCGGGGGAGCACAACAACGGGUGGAGCCUGCGGUUCAAUUGGACUCAACGCCGGACAACUCACCGGGGACGACAGCAAUAUGUAGGCCAGGCUGAAGACCUUGCCUGAAUCGCUGAGAGGAGGUGCAUGGCGUAGACGUCU